UCGUCCCGAGCGCGACCUCAGGUCAGGCGGGGCUACCCGCUGAGUUUAAGCAUAUCAAUAAGCGGAGGAAAAGAAACUAACGAGGAUUCCCCUAGUAACGGCGAGCGAACCGGGAAGAGCCCAGCAUGAGAAUCG
rnacentral:rRNA from 1 species